rnacentral:tRNA from 1 species
GGAGCUGUGGCUCAGUGGUACAGUGCACGCCUAGCACGUGCGAGGCCCUGGGUUCAAUCCUCAGCACCA